rnacentral:rRNA from 1 species
GACGAACGCUGGCGGCGUGCUUAACACAUGCAAGUCGAACGCUGAAGCUUGGUGCUUGCACUAGGUGGAUGAGUGGCGAACGGGUGAGUAAUACGUGAGUAACCUGCCCUUGACUCUGGGAUAAGCCUGGGAAACUGGGUCUAAUACUGGAUACGACAUGUCACCGCAUGGUGGUGUGUGGAAAGGGUUUUACUGGUUUUGGAUGGGCUCACGGCCUAUCAGCUUGUUGGUGGGGUAAUGGCUCACCAAGGCGACGACGGGUAGCCGGCCUGAGAGGGUGGCCGGCCACACUAGGACUGAGACACGGCCCAGACUCCUACGGGAGGCAGCAGUGGGGAAUAUUGCACAAUGGGCGGAAGCCUGAUGCAGCGACGCCGCGUGAGGGAUGACGGCCUUCGGGUUGUAAACCUCUUUCAGCACGGAAGAAGCGAAAGUGACGGUACGUGCAGAAGAAGCGCCGGCUAACUACGUG